UACUACGCCAAAUCAUUUCACCUGCAUUCCAGCAAGUGAAAAGCUAAACUUGAUGCUUUGACCAGUUUCGACAUGAACGGCAGACUGGUUAAGACAAGAGUUUCACGAUCCUGCUCGUUCCUGCGUUGGGUAAACUUGUUAUGC